AUGCUCAUUUCAGCAGCACAUAUACUAAAAUUGGAACGAUACAGAGAAGAUUAGCAUGGCCCCUCCCCAAUCGUGGAGUGUUCCAUAUUUAAACAAAAAAAUAGUAU
rfam:Loxodonta africana unplaced genomic scaffold scaffold_1, whole genome shotgun sequence.